GCCAGCGUUUCCCCCGACAUUUCGGUCGUUUCACAUUAUGGAGUGUUUUCGUUCGUUUCAUUAGAAUUUCGCCAAUUUAAAUGGACCCGCUGAUUACGUGAGAUUAAGCCAACAAAACAUCGCAAGCGGGACAUUCAGUGAUGACCUCGUCGUCGCCGAGCCACAGCAGCAGCGGGUCCCACCGGGAGUUUGAGGAAGACCUGCGCAAGGCCCUGGACGAGGUGCCGCCCCUCAACGAGAGCAGGGACGCGGUCCACUCGGGAGGCGCCAUGCCCCACCCGGAGGGGUCCACCAGGGGAACCCGAGCCCCGCCCCCCACCUCCUUCGGGACUUCCGCGCCCUGGGCCGCCCAGCCUCCGGCGACGACGAGCGUGCCGCUGACGAGCCCGAGCCCGGUGCAGAACGGGAGCGACCCCCGUGUGAUCAAGCCUGGCCAGUCGAAGAUAGACUACCUCAGGCAGUGGAGCGUGUCGACCUACAAGUGCACCCGACAGAUGCUGUCGGAAAAGCUGGGGAAGCAAACUGCAGGCACAAGGACGGUGGACACUGAGCUGGAGGCCCAGAUCGAGCUGCUGAGGGACACCCAGGCCAAGUACCUGCACGUGCUCAGGCUCGCCAGAGCGCUCGCCUCGCACUUCCACCAGGUGGUGCAGACACAGGGGCUACUGGCGGAGGCCUUCCAGGAGCUGGCCCACCGGAGCCCUCCGCUGCAGGAGGAGUUCCGCUACAACGCGGAGGCCCAGCGCUCCCUGGGCCGCAACGGGGAGACCCUGCUCGGUGCGCUCAACUUCUUUGUCUCCUCCCUGGCCACCCUGUGCCACAAGACCAUCGACGACACCCUGCUCACCGUCAGGCUCUACGAGAGCGCCAGGCUGGAGUACGACGCGUACCGGACGGACCUGGAGGAGCUGACCCAGGGCACCCAGGGCAACGCCAUUUCUUCCAAGAUGGACGAGGCCCAGCGUAACUUUGCCCUGCACAAGGACAAGUACGAGAAGCUCAAAGCGGACGUCACCAUCAAGAUGAAGUUCCUCGAGGAGAACAAGGUGAAGGUGAUGCACAAGCAGCUGCUGCUGUUCCACAAUGCGGUGUCUGCCUACUUCUCGGGGAACCAGGCCUCCCUGGAGGCCACCCUGAAGCAGUUCAACAUCAAGGUGAAGAACCCGCCGGGAUCCUGGCUCGAGCAGUGAGGGCUACGGCCCGCCCCCGCGGUCUUCGCUCGCCUUCCGACGGGCGUGCCUCCCAAAGAGUGCCGGGUACUGCCAGCUAACGGCUGUGGCUAAAGAGUGGCUAGAGUGACGACCAUCCCGGAAGUUUGUGCCGGCUAAAGGGUGUGGCUAAAGUGACUUCUUAGCCAGUAGCCCGUGCUGGCUAGAGCUUGGCUAAAGAAUGUGGCCAAAGCGACGCUUCAUGGUUGGUUGACUGUGCUGACUAAAGCAACGCUUUAGCCACUUUAGAAAAUGAGGUUCGGAAGAAAAAAAUCGGAUUGGCUUUCUACGGGAUUGUUAGUCGUAGUAGGCUUUCCAGGUAUACUCGAGUAGAAACGGGUCGGCAAACUUGUGUGUUGUCUGUUAACGUUUGUUUUUGUUAACAAUUGUAUUUUGACGGGCCAAGUCAUUAAUUGCCGUUUUGUUGCGCGAAAACUAGCAGCAAUCCAUUGGGCCGCUUGUCCUUUGUUGUGACCAACUAAAAUAGAGGCGGUUGAUUUUUUUUCUUUGUUACUAUUUUUUUUAUUAUAUAUAAAUGUUUCUUCCCAAAAGUUGUGUUUUUGGAAGCUGAGUUAGGUUGUUAAAAGGUUUCUUUUUUUCUCUGUGUUUCAUCGCUUGCUUUUGUCAUGUGUGACAUUAUUAAGGUAUCAAUUUCUUUACACACAUCUGGACUCUUGUCUACCGUGCAAUACCAAGCAAGUGCCCGCCCUAAAGUUCGAGAUAAUCGGGAAGACGUUGGUAUUGGCAUUACCGCUUUGCAAGCCCUCGAUACACCCCUCGCUCAUGCUUAAAACUUUUUAAAGUAGGAGAUUGGUGCUUUUUGCGAAGUGGGAGGCUGUUGGUUAUUUUAGGGUAGCCAUGGUUUUCUGGUCGUACAUAAUUUUCUUGCCUCGAGGUUUCCAUUAAUCUAAAGAAAAUGGAAAAUGAAAUCGCCCGCUUGCAGUUUUAAAAAAAUACUGUGGGGUACAUAGAUUUAAUGCCUUCCAUAUUUUUUUAGCAGAAAACGAAGGGUACCCGGUAGCCGACAAAAAAUCUUGUCGAAAAGGACGCACUUCGGUUCUUUUCACCCACCGCCACAGAAGAUGCGUGGAAAAGUGAUGUGCGGCGAGCCGACAUUUCGUGCUUCUUUCGUUGCCGCCCGUCUUCUUUUUUCUCCUCUCUGUGCUUUUGGGCGAUGUGCAACUUUGGUUUGCACUUGAGGCUUUUUUGUGCUCGUCUUUUUUUUUUUUUUCAAAGUGUUGGUUUUUUGGGAGAAGUUUGUUUUGCCAACCUUAAGAAAUUUCCAGGCCUGGUGGUGCGAGCCCAGUGUCGAAGCUAAGGAAGCGACGCGUCGGAACUGACAUUCUUGUUGCACUAAAGCAGACAACACUGGCGUUCGGUGUGCCGUCUCUAUUGUCCCGUCCUGGUGAAAGAAAAAAUAAAACUCAAAAGAUAGCGGACGGCACCAUAACCAAACGUGAAGACGGAGAGCGCUUUGAUGCGGGCCUUGGUUUCUUUAUAUUUAGGUUUCUUAUUAUUUUUUCAUCUUCUUGCAAACACACCUAGUCAUCUUUUGAAAUUAAGCUCUGCACUACUUUCUUAUUUCUGAGAGCAUUUUUUUUUUUCGUUCUGAUUUUUUGGCGAGAUUUGCGACUGUACAUAGCGUGCUCGCAAACACUUUUGAGGCCUCAGUUUUGCGAGCUUGUUCGUGUCAUCGUCUAACGUGGCGUAGACGAGCUCGUUGCGCUGGGGAGAGAGCGCACAAAGUGCGGAGGGGCCGGGAGUGUGGCGUCACUCGGACACAAAUUGUGCCGCCCAGACCAGUCAGAAUCUGCGACGCACUCGCGAUUAAAAGUGUGGGGUCGCCAGGUAAUGCAUUGUAGAAAAGGUUCAAAGGGAAAACCUUUUUUUUUUUCUUUAAGAAAUGCUCGCACCUCGUUUUGAGUAAGAUGUGCCUUUUCAAACGUCUCGUUUUCUCCAAUUCGGCAAAAAGGAUGAGCGAUUCCUCAUUCAGCUGUAAACUGGCUGUUGAGAAACACCGCAGUCGUGCAGCCUUUUUGUUUCCCUGGAAUUUCCCAUCGCGGUUGGGAACUUUGUCAAAGGGAUUGCGAGCAGGCGGACAACUUCCCGACAAGCGUUCCCAGAUUCCUUGCCGAAAGCCGCCAAUCCAGCUCGUGGCACACUUGCCAAUUCCCAAGUCUGUUCUAGAAUGCAUCGCCACUUUUACUCGAAACUGUCAAUAUUUCUCACACGUGGUGGUCCGGGUUUGGGCGAGUUUGUUCGAGCGCGAGACCGAUGAUAAACUUGUAACAGGACAUGUCCGGUGCUUUGCGGCGCGUUCGACGGCCGCUCCGCCGCCGAACCGUUGUUGGCUCGUCGCGGCACUUGACUUGCCUGAAAAUUGUCCGAUGCCGCUCUGGUUCAAGCAUUUUUGUUUGGACGCAUUUUCUGUUUUGUGCCGGUUUUUUUGUAAGAGCCUUGACCCAUGACCUGUUCUGGCUUGCCUCGGUUCCGAGUGCCAUAUGUUUUGCCCUUGCUUCCCCGCCCCCCGAUCGGUACGCCGUAAAGCGGAUUAAUAAAAAAACAAAUUGAAUGGACACACUAAAA
rnacentral:misc_RNA from 1 species